UACGGAGGGUGCAAGCGUUGCUCGGAAUUAUUGGGCGUAAAGGGCACGUAGGUGGUCUCAUGUGUCUGGGGUGAAAGCCUUGAGCUUAACUCAAGAAGUGCCCCAGAAACGGUGAGACUGGAGUCCUGGAGAGGGUCGUGGAAUUCCCGGUGUAGCGGUGAAAUGCGUAGAGAUCGGGAGGAACACCAGCGGCGAAAGCGGCGACCUGGACAGGCACUGACACUCAACUGCGAAAGCGUGGGGAGCAAACAGG
rnacentral:rRNA from 1 species